UAUUUCCAUUUUGUUGACUGGUCAUAAGUCAAGUUUUAACUCUUCCUUUUUCUCCUCAAAAUUAGAUAUUAACAAUUUGGCUAUUUUGCUGACUAAUUCAACUUAUAACUCUUCAUCUUUCUUCUCUCUGAUAAUUCCUUCUGCAAGGAGAGAUCAUAAACUAGCCACAGUGUUGUGCCAACAAUUGUAUCUAUUCUUUGAAUAACUAUGCCAGCUCCCAUAAACUUCAUUCUCUUCCUCUUCUUCUCUUUCUCUCUAACCACACUACUAACAUCAGAUUGAUCUCUUUUUCUUUUCUCUGUGCUUUUUUCAUAAUAUAUAUAAAUUAAUAAAUAAAGUGUAUUUAUAUUAUCUUAUGCACACCUUUGGGAUUGAUUUAGAUUUAUGCUUAUAUAAAUCCAUAGCUUCGAUAUGCACACAUUUCAUCUUUUUUAUUAAUAACAGGAUAAUUCCAAGAAAGAUUAGUCAAACAAUGUUGAAACAAAGUCCAACUCUCCUUCUUAUUUGGAUAAGAAAAUGAAAUAGGAUGGUAAUGACAACAGCAGUGGCAAGCUCAAGCCGAAAGGCAAAGGCACCUAAAGCCAAGAAGAACAAAGUCAGCCUUAAGUUCAAGGACAAGAAAGGUGAAAGGCAAGUGUUUCUAUUAUAUCGUGAUGAAAUAGUGGACGAGAAACUGUCUUAAGUAUCUCUCCGAGCUUAAGAAAAGUAAAUUCAAUUUAUUUAUUCUUGAAGCUAAAUUAGUGGAAGAUGAACAAUCUUCAUAGAUUAUUGAUUCAGGAGCAAAUAAUAAUAUUUAUUCUUUAAUGUAAAUACUUGAUUUAUCAAAGACACUGGCUAAUAGAAAGGUGACCAUAAGAGUGGGCAAUGGAACACAAGUGUCUGCCAAGUUUGUUGGCAAAGUCCGUUUAAGUUUUAUUAAUAAUGAGAUUAUUAAUUCUAAGUA